rnacentral:rRNA from 1 species
AAUGAACGCUGGCGGUAGGCCUAACACAUGCAAGUCGAACGGCAGCACAGGAAGAGCUUGCGCUUACGGGUGGCGAGUGGCGGACGGGUGCGGAAUACAUCGGAAUCUACUUUUUCGUGGGGGAUAACGUAGGGAAACUUACGCUAAUACCGCAUACGACCUACGGGUGAAAGCAGGGGAUCUUCGGACCUUGCGCGAUUGAAUGAGCCGAUGUCGGCUUAGCUAGUUGGCGGGGUAAAGGCCCAGCAAGGCGACGAUCCGUAGCUGGUCUGAGAGGAUGAUCCGCCACACUGGAACUGAGGAACGGUCCAGACUCCUACGGGAGGCAGCAGUCGGGAAUAUUAGACAAUGGACGAGAGCCUGAUCCAGCCCUACCGCGUGGGGGAAGAAGGCCUUCGGCUUGUAAAGCCCUUUUGUUGGGAAAGAAAAGAAGCACUUUAAUACCCGGCGGUAAUGACGGUACCCAAAGAAUAAGCACCGGCUAACUUCGUG